rnacentral:lncRNA from 1 species
UCUAAUGGUUAUUAUCUGCAUGGUAAACUUCCUCUGCCAAGCUACCGGAAGCAAUAACAACAACCACCACCCAGUAGAAUCUCAUUAGUGGGGUCUGGGGAGAGUAGAAUGUACGCAAACCUUACCCCUACCCCGAAGGGAUAGAGAGGAUGUUUCCGGGAGACCCUUGGCUCAGAGAGAAUUAGAUCCGUAACCACAACAAAAAUCCAAAAAAAUAGUAUCAACAUCAUAAAAUACAACAAAUAAAUGGAAAGGCCAAAAUGUGAAAGGCAGCAACAACCACAACAUAACAAAAAAAUAAAAAUUAUGAAACACAACAAAAUCGCUAGCAGUCCUAGACAAAACACUAUCAGACUAGCCUGUGCAGCGAGGAGAAACACUCGACUACCCUCUAACCUACAACCCUAAUACUCGACCUCCACACAUUCCUAUCAAAGGCCAUGUCCUCGGAAAUUUGAAGAUGCGCCAUGUCCUGCCUGAUCAUCUCGCCCCAGUAUUUCUUAGGCCACCCUCUACCUCUUCUCAUAACUGCCAGAAUCAAACGCUCACACCUCCUAACCGAGCAUCUGGGCUCCUUCUCCGCACGUGCCUGAACCACCUAAGCCUUGCUUCACGCAUCUUGUCAUCUAGGAGAGCCACACCCACCCUCUCCCGAGUAACCUUAUUUCUAAUCUUAUCCAUCCGAGUGUGCCCGCAAAUCCAUCUCAACAUCC